AAUAACAAGCCUUAGAAUUGUCUCCAUUCUUUUGCUACUCAAAGUGUAGUCAGAGGGCCAGCAGCCUUAGCAACAUCCGGAAGCUUGUUAGAAAUGCAGAAUCUCAGACUCUGACUCAUCCCCAUUGAAAAGAAUCUACAUUUCAACAGGAUUCCCAGGUGACAGUAGAACAACAUUGGAGAAGCUCUGGUCUAGAAAACAUCCCACUUCACGGAUGUGGAAAGCGAGGCCCAGGAAGGGUGUGACCUAGCGAUCUUCCUUAGAGAAGCCCACAUGCACUUGAGGUCCUGAGCUGCCCUGUUAGAAGCCUGAGUUCCUGGAGCCAAGCCACAUGGAAAGUUCAGUAAACUGCAGCUGGGCCAGCCCAUGGGGAGUCCCUGGGGAGUCAGUCAAAUGUCUCAACAGUCACAAGAAUGCUUGCGUGCAGACGGGGCAACCACAGGCUCCAGGCCAUCACACAGAGUCCUGGUCUUUCUACCUUUUUCCAAAGAAGGGAGUAAGGCUGGAACAACCCCAACAAUGCUUCCGACAUUCCUAAUUUUAUCUCUAGUUUUGAAAGGACUUCUUGUUUGACUUAAGAGUGGGGGUGAGAGGUAAUGGGUUAUAGCAAUGACUCGCCAGAUACAGGCUAGGAGCUUCUUUGUCCACCUGGGUAAAUGUGUCUCAGUCAUCUCUAUAGUGGCGUCAGACCUACAAUUAAGAUUUUGUGCUGCCCGGCCCUGGGAAACUGGGAAGUCCUCGAAUGGCCUAACUGCAUCUCCUUACCCACUCCAGUCCCUCCGAUAAGGUCCCCUAGCCAAACAACCCACCUUAUCACAUGGACGAGGCACAGGGCCUGUUUAGCCCUGAGUAGCAGGCUUCAGUUCCCUGCCAGCUACAGAAAUAUUCAAAUCAAACAAUCACGUCCUCCUGGAGAAACCAGGAGUCCCUCCAACCUCUUGUUACUAUAAAGCCUGCCCCCGCACAGCCCCCGCUUGUUCACUCUGUUCCCGAUGACAACCCCUGUCCAGCUGUGGUGGCACAGGAUCUUCUUUCCUUGGACAACAGGCUGCCAUCAUUCUCCAGCAGUGGGGGUCAUAUGCGUGGCCAGCCCCCUAACCCUAGUGUAGAAUCCCUCCCUCGUGAACAAGCUGAAGAGCAAGCAAUCGAAACAUCUACGAUUUUCAAUUUUUUUCUUCUUUAGACCAAUCAUUAUGACUGCAUGAGAGAAUCCUCAUAUCUUUUCUUUCCAACGAAUUUUCCUUGGUCAGGAGGAUGGAGGUGGCGGGAGAAUGCAUGCAAAAUGUGCUUCAUAAUCUCUUUCUAGUUGAAAAUUAAGAGAUUUCUGCUUUGAUGGAAAAGUGAGUGCAGAGAGUGGCUGACGAAGGGUAGAAAAACCUCAGUCGGAGGGUUCCCUGAAGAUCAUUCACCUAGAAAGUUCAGAAAGUGAAUAAUGAUCACAAGAAAAUGUUUCAUCACACGAUAAAGAGUUGCACCACAGCAGCUAAUUCUUUAGAACCGGCCUAAUAGAGAAAUGACGACGAACUGUCUCAUCAUGAACGUUACUGUGGCAGAACAUCACUGACAAGAUGCUGCUGUAAUUUUCUGCUCUGUGGUACGUAUUUGGCCACAGUGACCUCACAGAACUUCGUACCACACAAUACGGCAAUCACCUUCAAUUGUUACCUUUAUGUGAUUUUUUUUUUUUUAC